rnacentral:lncRNA from 1 species
CACAACAGGGUAUCAAAUGAUAAUGAAAAAUAAUAUUCAUUCUACCAGGAGAUAUGAGUUCUAGUUUGGGAUCUGACACUUAACAGCAUGAUGUUAGGUGAUACAAUGAGCCACAUUUUGUCUCAGAUUUCUCAUUGGCAACAUGGUGUACCUUAUGCACAAUAGGUCACCCUCUUUUGAGUGCUUAUGGAUCUUAUCCAAGAAGCUCUCCAUUCAUUGUUUCUUGGCUUGAUUUAAUCAACACAAUGUCAUUCUCAAAUGGGAGCAUCAUGAGGACUUCAUCACUUUUAGAAAAUGCCUUUUCAACUUCAUUUCUCUGCUAGAUCUCCUCCAGUUUAAAAUCUAACAGAGGAAUAUUUAACAAAAUAAAGAAAAUGUAAUAGAACA